UACACUUACAGUGUUAGAUGAUUAGUCCAUAUAUACUUGGAUAACCACUGUACUAACUUGCAACAAAACCAUAAGAUUGACACAGCGGUUUUGCUUCCAGUGGUGUUCCUCACAAAACUCACUCUACCCAAAUCCAUGGGUUCACACAGUGGUUUUGCUUCCACAACCCUUCAAAGUGUGUUUGAUGUAAUGCAUAUGUGACUGCCUCGCUUGGCAUUGUACUGUCAAUUGGAUGUGUAAUUGAAAGAGCUGCCAUUAAAUUCCCAAGUGCUCUGUUUGAUGAAUUUGUUUGUGCCUGCAAUCAUUGAUCUGGAGAUGGCUUCCAUUGUUCUGUGUUCGAUCAUUGGUGGUAUGUGAACUUUGGAAAAACUUCAUUAUAUAUGGUGCAUUUUGGUGUUUAAUUAUCUUGGAGUGGGUAAUGAAACUUCUGGUGUUAUUUUCAA